UACGUAGGGUCCGAGCGUUGUCCGGAAUUAUUGGGCGUAAAGAGCUCGUAGGCGGCGUGUCGCGUCUGCUGUGAAAGCCCAUGGCUUAACUGUGGGUGUGCAGUGGAUACGGGCAUGCUUGAGGUAGGUAGGGGAGACUGGAAUUCCUGGUGUAGCGGUGAAAUGCGCAGAUAUCAGGAGGAACACCGAUGGCGAAGGCAGGUCUCUGGGCCACUACUGACGCUGAGAAGCGAAAGCAUGGGGAGCGAACA
rnacentral:rRNA from 1 species